GAUGAACGCUAGCGGCAGGCUUAAUACAUGCAAGUCGUGGGGCAGCACAGGGUAGCAAUACUUGGGUGGCGACCGGCAAACGGGUGCGGAACACGUACGCAACCUUCCUUCAGGCGGGGAAUAGCCCAGAGAAAUUUGGAUUAAUACCCCAUAAGAUUUUGAGAUGGCAUCAUCUUAUUAUUAAAGAUUUAUCACCUGAAGAUGGGCGUGCGGCUGAUUAGGUAGUUGGCGGGGUAACGGCCCACCAAGCCUACGAUCAGUAGCUGAUGUGAGAGCAUGAUCAGCCACACGGGCACUGAGACACGGGCCCGACUCCUACGGGAGGCAGCAGUAAGGAAUAUUGGUCAAUGGACGCAAGUCUGAACCAGCCAUGCCGCGUGGAGGAUGAAGGUCCUCUGGAUUGUAAACUUUUUUAUCUGGGACGAAAAAGGGUUUUCUAACUCGUCUGACGGUACCAGAUGAAUAAGCACCGGCUAACUCCGUGCCAGCAGCCG
rnacentral:rRNA from 1 species